rnacentral:misc_RNA from 1 species
UCAGUUAUGGUUCUCGCUUUCUUGCGUAGAGGAUAGUUAAAGCUAGGGAUAAUUUGAAUUGCUAGUCUGAAGCGUUUGCGAGGAGGAAUUAUAGCAUAGGUGUUCCGAGCUAAAGGGCUUUGCUUGGCUUCUUUGCAAGGAAGAUGGUGAAGAAGAAGGACAGGACUGCCCGCAGGCAGAUAUUGCAGUUAAAGGAGGAGAGAAGCCGAACAUAUUCCCCGCCGGCCAAGAAUUCGUCGAUUGGUACUGCGGAGCCAUCAAGUCAAGGAGAUGACGAAGGAGACGGACAUGACGAAGCUAGCCAAAAUGAGCCAGCCUCGAAUAACGGCGUUCGGAGAGAUGCCAUAGACGAUCAGCUUGAAGACUUCAUGAAGGAAAUUGAUGCUAUCUCAUCGUCUGUUCCUGAGACUGAUGCGCAAGGUGAGGAGGAUAAAAAGGAAUCUGUUGACCAGCAGGCUGUGACGGCAUCAUUGGGCGCUCCGCUAACUUCAGGGACACCUGAAGUAGAAGUUGCCACCCAGGAGCCAAAGUCAGAAGGAAGCACUGCGGAAACACCUUCGGCUACUAAGGGCGAAAUUCCACCUUGUCCCUGGGUGGAGUGCAUGGAUGUGGCGACUGGGUACACCUACUUCUGGCACCAGUUGACCAACGAGACAACGUGGGACUGUCCACCUGAGUUCGAAGCUUACUGGGCACAGUAUGGUGAACCUGCUGAUGCUGAGGGUGGCGCGCCCGGAGCUGGUGCUGAUGCUGCUUCUGCAACAAUUCUUCGCACGAGUGGCGACACACAGAUGCUUCCCGAAACCAGUGCGUCAGCAUCUCCUACUGGUGCGGCUGCACCAAACAGCAGCGACUCAACGAAUGUUCAAGCUGCGGAUUCCUGCAGCGCGGAAGGUGGAGCGCAGAAACUUGCUGAUUCGUCUUCAGCCACUGCAUCGAUAGCUAGUGCGGCCCAAAGCAGUGCGAAUAUGGAAGCACCCGAAGUAAAUAAGAGGGUGACGACGUCUGGCAAGAAGAAGCGGAAGCAAGAAGCGGUCAUUGGAGCAAUCAUUCCAAUAACCUCGUACGGCGGCUCUGACAGCAGCUCGUCCGAGGGGAGUGACUACGAGACUUAUUCAGUCUGUAGGACACGGCUGAAGAGGCAUCCUUCCAAGCGCGUGAAGGUAGCAGCUAAGAAGACUCGUGCGAAAUCACCACCACCUGUUACCUAUGGACCACAGCUGCCAGACUCGGUACUUGCUCAAAGUGAAGUGCCCGUGUAUGGACCGCAGCUUCCUGAUUCUUCUGAAUCCAUGGAAGUAACAGUCUAUGGUCCACACCUGCCAGAAGUGAAGACAGUUGAAUAUGGCCCUCACUUGCCUGAGGAGGAUAGAGUCGUGUAUGGACCACACUUGCCGGAGCCAGAGAAAAAAAUUGCAUACGGGCCACACUUGCCAGAUACCAGCAACCUAGAAUCUCAUCAGCCCCCGGUCUUAAUUGGUCCACAGCUGCCGGAGUUACACGAGCUCAUGACCGAAAAGUCCAGUGCAUUUAUUGGCCCAGUUCUUCCGGAUGAAUUUAUUGACAAACAAGCAGAGCAUUGUGAAGAAGAUAAUCCCAAAGUUCAAGAACAGUCUCCUAAAUCGGAGGACCCAUCCUCUGAAGGCACAGGAUCCCCCAAAUCUGUCGCUUGUAAAGAAGAUAAUCCCAAAGUUGAAGAACAGUCUCCUAGGUCGGAGGACCCAUCCUCUGGAGAUACGGGAUCGCCCAAAUCUGUUGCUGUAUCUGAAGCAUCCUGUGCUAAAGGUUUGCAAGCCAGUGAAAGUGUGCAGGAAAGCAAUCACUCUUCUGCAGUUACUGGAGAACGUGCUAGUGCUUCUGUUGAAACUGCAGUUGCGGUUCCAGCAUUGUCUGGCCUGGUGGAUUACCCUGGCUCUCCUGUUGUUGACAGCGAAACAGAUGAUGAGGGGAGUGAUGGGGACGAUAAAGUAGAGUCUGUGCCAGUGCAGGACACUGAGAAGGAGCCUGCGGCUGUGAACUAUCCUGUCAUGACUGAUGGAAAGCUCCAGUUUGAGACUGUUGAGAAUAAUGUGCAUGAGAAAGUUUCCCAAGAUGCCAGUCAAGGCUCUUCUAAUGUUCGUGCCAGCUCCCUGUCUGCAACAAAGCAGUUGAAGUCAAAAGAAAAUUCUGAGGCAAAGAACGGAUCGCAGCACCUGGUUUGUUAUGGUGACUCGGAGGGCAGUGACGAUGACAGCAUGGACGUGGACAUAACUGCUGCGGAGCCCUGUCUUUCUUCAACAAUGCGAUCACCCGCCUCUUCAGUAGCUGGCGAGGAUGACAGGGAAGAUAGACACAGGGGCUUCGGGUGCUCAAACAGCGAUGCUCUGGACGCUGAAGCUACUGAUGUCAAGAAGGCUCCUUCAGCAAGGCCAUUCGUGGGAGUCAGCUUUGUUCGAUCGUCAGAGUUGCUUGUGUUGAGUGAGUGUGUAAAUCAGGGUGAGGGAGACGCUGAAGAGAAGACUGCUAAAGAGAAGACUGAAGAGGCUGCGGAAGAACAGUCAUCCAGUUCCGAGGGCACGGCUGCCACCGAAAGGUUGGCUUCCCCGCAAGAACAGGUGGCACCGGAAGAUUCUGAUGUAGAUGAUUUUGAUGAUGUAGUCCGGGCCCUCGACAUUGCUUUGUUAGAGUCGCAAAAGAAGAAGGCGCAGGAAAUUGGUACAAAGCACCAAGACUUACCUAGUGCUGACAAAGAAUCGCCCGGUGAUACAAGCGAGGAGGAGGGAGAAAUCAAGUCUUCCGAUUCGUCCAGUGAGGAAGGAAUGACACCAAUGCCGCAGGGGAGCUCAGACUCUGAGGAUGAAUCGGAGACGGAAGGGGAUGCCAGACUAAAAAAAGGCAAUGAAUUCACUGAACGAAAAACAUCUCCCAAGCCUGAGAGUAAGGAUAGGCUUAAGCUUGAUAUUGAAGAAGCUUACAAGCAGCUGACAGACCUGUUGAAUCCUCUGCGGGACGUGAUCGCCUGUAGGAACAGCUACUUCGAACUUGUUGUGAAGACUAUGACACGUAUGGAGGAUUGGCGUGCUGGAGCUCUGGACCCUGGCUACUUUCUUCAGAGGUUACACGAAGCGCGUGCCACGGCUGACGAGCUUCAGCAACUGGUCCUGGCUCCUGAGCCAACAGAGAGCGACAAAUCUUGCCAAGAACCCUUGCCGCCCGGCUGGCAGAGGCACUGGGACAGGAGCCUUUACGAAGUCUGGUCUUGGCUUGGGGCGGGAAGGAUGGCUUGGUGGGAGGCGGUCGCCGCUGUGUUUCGUUUCUUUUUCUUCUUUUCCUCUCAAGCCCAAGAAGCCCUUUCUUUCCUCGUUUUUCUCGUGGAGGACCCACGUCCCUCAUGGCACCCCAGCCCCCACCCACCCCGUCGGUCCUUUCCUUGCCAUGCCCUACCUCUUUUUAUCUGACGUAUCGAUCGUCGUUGCGCCAUAUUGCAACCAGUGGACAAGUUGCUGGACUUUAUGGGGCCGCUUCUGGAGCUGCCACGGCCAAAUCGGGAUGAUGUAGGCUGACAUGCCUUGGCUGAUCCGAUGGUGCUCUUGUGUCACCUGUCCAGCCUGCAAGAGACCCUCUACAAGACAGGAGCAACAUCAAGCCUGUAGACAGCACUCAGUCCUUUGGAGCUGAGUGGCUAUGGUUUGCCAGCGGAUUGCUUUGAAAAGCACGCCCAUUAAGUUGUGACUGCCGUGUGCACCGGUUGUGGGAGUAACAUUGGUAUCACAGAUGAAGAUCGCUUUGAGAAUUCCGUGCGGCACAGGGGUGUGUGUCAUCAGGCGGUGGAUGCUACGCCAUUGUUUCCUGCUGCCACAUAACUUAGAAAUGACACCAUACCACUGCAUCGUAGGACUGGGUCAUGUCCAGCAUACACCUUCCAUCUCUUUCUAGAAGUGCUUGGAUGUCAUCGUUGUAUGCUUUAGUGGGCACGCAAGAUAUUUUUAUGUGCACGAGGAAACCGGCCAUUCCCAGUGGCAGUUCCCCGAUGUGCCUGAUUCCACCUCUCC